AAUUGAGAGUUCUGCAACUUUUCUCCAUUACACGCCUCUUUCUCGCCUGAAGAAGAUGAUUCGGCCGACACACAAUCUUUCACCCUUCUUUCUCUCAACUGAUGAUCAACGCUAAUAUUUCGGUGAAAUCGACUGAUAUCUGACAAAGAGAAAAGGAAGGAGAAUAAAAAAGAUAGGUUGUGUAGAUGAAGGUGGUGACUAGUUUGAUAUCAGCUAUCAAUAAUGAAAUCCUGUUUUCAUGUGAGAGUAGCAAUUACAGUUGUAGAUUUGGAAAGACAAGCUAAGGGAGGCUGGAUUUUGCUUUUGAGAUGAAGGAAUGCUUUUUUUUUUUUUUUGGUGCUCUUUUUUGCAGAAUGAUGUAAAUUUUUUGUUUGUACUCUCAAUGAAGUAGCUAUUUUUGUUUGUGAGAUGAAGGCUGCAUUUUUUUGUAUAUUUUAUAAUGAAAUUAUUUUGCCUUCUUAUAUUGUAAUGAAACAGCUAUGAGAUUGUAAUGAAUGCUUCAUAUUGUAAUAAAUAUUGUUCUUAGUGGCUAA